UUUAGGGAUUGAAAUUGACUCACUAAGGUAAUCUUUAUUUGCUGAUGUUCUUGGUUGUGCUGAGCCAUAUCUCUGCAGCAUUAGUGGCAGCACAUAAACCUCUGAAAACAGCCUUAAUAUAAAAUGUCAGUCUUGGAAACAUUGCACUUGCAGCCCUCAGUCUCUUUAAAGAUUGAAAACAAAGAAUCAUCUUCAAGGUGGAACAAUAUUUUAUUUUCACAACCAGACCAUCACCUUUAAUACAUUCCUCCAAACCACUUCUCACCAUCAAGAAAAUAUAAGGUCACUUCCGUUUCAGAGUUAAAGAGGAAGGAUUGUGAGAGUCCAAGCAUGAAUGUACAUCAUAGCAUGUAGGCCGAUUUCAAAUGUUGUUACAAUUCAUCAGGUGUACACACCAAGGCAAACGUAUUGUCAUACAUAGUUACCAUAUAUAGUUACUGUAAGUGUUCUGCUAUGCAGUGUUAUGUCUAUAUGGCUCAGAGGGCGAUGAUUGGUACUCACUCUCCUGCCCUGGCCACCCAUCACCACAUCCCUUUAGUCAACAUACACUCAGAAAGAAAAGGCACGUCUGUAUUACCUGGGGUCUAAUCAUUAUUCCAAAAUGGUUCGGCAACGGAAACUAGAAUAUCUAUUGGACAAUUUCAGGUAAGUCCCACCCAGUUUCAUUCCGUUUGCGUACGCUUGGUUCUGUUUGGUUACUAGUGAAUAUAUCCCAGGUCUCAGAUUAUCUGAGUGCUACUUCACAGUCUCCUUAAGCUGCUUAGUUUUCCCUUUAGCCUUCUCAGAUCAAAGUUGUAUUAUUUUUUUAAUGCAUUUUUUUUCUGCUGCGUCUGCCUUUUUCAGAACGUCAUUGUUCUGUUUAUUUUUUUUAUUUAUUUUUUUUAAAUACAUUUUCUCCGCCCAUCUCAUAUCAGCUCAGUGGACAUGUCACCUUCCGGAAUGUCGUCUGUAUUGACGUCAUUGACCAUGAUGUCGUCGGCCGUCAGGUCUAAGUGCUUGAAGAGUCUGCUUUGCUCAGCUCACUGCCCCUGACAUCACACAGAAGCUGCUCUGCCAUGGUCGCUGGCUUCUCCGGGGAUUCUUUGGACUCUUCCGGGACGGAGACAGAAUUCCAGGCAGCCUUUACGUUGUCGUCAUAGCAUUCUGCAUCCCCCAGGUCUGUGGGCUGGUCUGGGGCAGAUCUGUGAGAGGGGGGAGCAUCGAGGGGCUCAGGGGUCAGCUCAGGGACACCCAGGUCCAGAAGAUGGGCGGGGCAGAGGAAGGGCUCUGGGAUAGCCUCAUGUUCUAUGACGACUGGCUUUGGCUCUGGGACGACUGGCUUUGGCUCUGGGACGACUGGCUUUGGCUCUGGGACGACUGGCACGACUGGCUCUGGGCCGACUGGCACGACUGGCUCUGGGCCGACUGGCACGACUGGCUCUGGGCCGACUGGCACGACUGGCUCUGGGCCGACUGGCACGACUGGCUCUGGGCCGACUGGCACGACUGGCUCUGGGCCGACUGGCACCGGUUUGCUGACUGACACCGGUUUGCUGACUGACACCAGGGGCUCGGGUUCAGGCGGUGCUGGGGUCGGCGCUGGUGCAAGGUCUACCAGUGGGGCGCUCACCGGCUUCUCCAAUGGGGGCUCCGUCUCUGGCUGCUUGGGGGGCUCUGGCUCAGCCUCCUGUACCGGUGCUGGCACUGAUUCUACUACUGGUUCAGUCGCCUCUGCAACCACCACUGGCUCAUCAGGUACUGCCUCCACCACAGCUUCCUGCGUGUCGAUUGCCUCCUCUGCAGCCUCCUGCUCAGCUGGUGCGGUGUCCCGUCUCCUGCUGAUCUUGUUUCCCAUGAUGCACCUAGAGACAAUGAGACCGGCAGAGUGAGAGAGACCUCAACCAUGAGGAGGAGAGGGCCCGACAGCGAGCAGAUCAGGAGAGGGGGAAAGGCCAUUUGCACACCCAAACUUUGCACCAAGAUAAACAACUGGGACAAAAAGUCCUGCUUCCUAAGGGUGGCUGUAUCGUCACCUGUUACAGGUUUAACAGGUCUAGUGAAUCAGUAAUCUAAAGAAUCAUAUUUAGUUUGUUGUCUUGGACACAGGGACUUGCACAUGAGCUAAUGAACUCAAUGGAUAAAAUACAUUCACCUUUCAGUCACAGCUAUUCGGUUGUGUGUGCUGGACUUUUCCUUGACCUUGUGCCUUGUUUGAUUUUCCCAGCACCAGUGCCCAGUUUGGAUGUGCUUAUUGGAUUAGUACGCCAUAAAUCACAGGCAUCGGUGAGAGCAAGUAAACUAACUGUGGAAAUUAGUGAUGCACAGAUUACAUUUUUGGUCGAUACCGAUAUCCAACAUUUUCCUUUCGAAAAAAAAAAAACCCUGAUACCGAUAAGCGAUAUUUAAAAUUUAAGCAGCCUUUUAAGCAUUCUAGUACAGUUAAAUAAUUAACACACAUGGACGCAGCGGUCUAAGGCACUGCAUCUCAGUGCAAGAGGCGUCACUACAGUCCCUGGUUUGAAUCCAGACUGUAUCCAAUCCGGCCGUGAUUGGGAGUCCCAUAGGGCGGCGCACAGUUGGCCCAGCGUCAACCGGGUUUGGCCGGGGUAGACCAUCUUUGUAAAUAAGAAUUUGUUUUUAACUGACUUACCAAGUAAAGGUUACACACACACCAAAAAGUUA
rnacentral:lncRNA from 1 species